UGAGUAACCUGCCCUUAACUCUGGGAUAAGCCUGGGAAACUGGGUCUAAUACCGGAUAUGACUCCUCAUCGCAUGGUGGGGGGUGGAAAGCUUUUUUGUGGUUUUGGAUGGACACGCGGCCUAUCAGCUUGUUGGUGAGGUAAUGGCUCACCAAGGCGACGACGGGUAGCCGGCCUGAGAGGGUGACCGGCCACACUGGGACUGAGACACGGCCCAGACUCCUACGGGAGGCAG
rnacentral:rRNA from 1 species